GCCCGAGUGGUGGAACUGGCAGACACACUGCACUCAAAAUGCAGCGCCUCAGGCGUGACGGUUCAAAUCCGUCCUUGGGUACCA
rnacentral:tRNA from 4 species